UACGGAGGGGGCAAGCGUUGUUCGGAAUCAUUGGGCGUAAAGGGCGCGUAGGCGGCCUUCUAAGUCGAACGUGAAAUCCCCGGGCUCAACCCGGGAACUGCGUCCGAUACUGGAAGGCUUGAAUCCGGGAGAGGGAUGCGGAAUUCCAGGUGUAGCGGUGAAAUGCGUAGAUAUUGGGAGGAACACCAGUGGCGAAGGCGGCUACCUGGACCGGUUCUGACGCUGAUGCGCGAAAGCGUGGGUAGCAAACAGG
rnacentral:rRNA from 1 species